rnacentral:rRNA from 1 species
CACGAACGCUGGCGGCAGGCUUAACACAUGCAAGUCGAGCGCCCCGCAAGGGGAGCGGCAGACGGGUGAGUAACGCGUGGGAAUCUACCCAUCUCUACGGAAUAACGCAUGGAAACGUGUGCUAAUACCGUAUACGUCCUUCGGGAGAAAGAUUUAACGGAGAUGGAUGAGCCCGCGUUGGAUUAGCUAGUUGGUGGGGUAAAGGCCUACCAAGGCGACGAUCCAUAGCUGGUCUGAGAGGAUGAUCAGCCACACUGGGACUGAGACACGGCCCAGACUCCUACGGGAGGCAGGCGUGGGGAAUAUUGGACAAUGGGCGCACGCCUGAUCCAGCCAUGCCGCGUGAGUGAUGAAGGCCCUAGGGUUGUAAAGCUCUUUCACCGGUGAAGAUAAUGACGGUAACCGGAGAAGAAGCCCCGGCUAACUUCGUGCCAGCCGCCGCAGUAAAAC